rnacentral:rRNA from 1 species
UCGAGAAUCUUCCGCAAUGGGCGAAAGCCUGACGGAGCGACGCCGCGUGGAGGACGAAGGCCUUUGGGUUGUAAACUCCUGUCACGGAUUAUGAAAGCGUUGUAUUGAAUAGGUGCAGCGUUGACGUAAGUCCGAGAGGAAGCACCGGCUAACUCUGUGCCAGCAGCCGCGGUAAUACAGAGGGUGCAAACGUUGUUCGGAAUCACUGGGCAUAAAGCGCACGUAGGCGGCCAAGUCAGUCGGUAGUGAAAGCCCACGGCUCACCCGUGGAGGGUCUUCCGAUACUUCUUGGCUAGAGGACGGUAGGGGAAAGCAGAACUCCUGGUGGAGCGGUGAAAUGCGUAGAUAUCAGGAGGAAUACCGGAGGCGAAGGCGGCUUUCUGGUCCGUUUCUGACGCUGAGGUGCGAAAGCUAGGGUAGCGAACGGGAUUAGAUACCCCUGUAGUCC